rnacentral:rRNA from 1 species
CGGGUGAGUAACGCGUAGACAACCUGCCGUAAAGAUGGGGACAACAGUCCGAAAGGACUGCUAAUACCGAAUGUUGUGGAACUUCCGCAUGGAAGCUCCACUAAAGAUGGUCUCUACUUGUAAGCUAUCGCUUUACGAUGGGUCUGCGUCUGAUUAGCUAGUUGGUGGGGUAACGGCCUACCAAGGCGACGAUCAGUAGCCGGUCUGAGAGGAUGAACGGCCACAUUGGAACUGAGACACGGUCCAGACUCCUACGGGAGGCAGCAGUGGGGAAUCUCCCGCAAUGGGCGCAAGCCUGACGGAGCAACGCCGCGUGAGUGAAGAAGGGUUUCGACUCGUAAAGCUCUGUUGUCGGGGACGAACGUGGAGAUGGUGAAUAACCAUUUCCAAUGACGGUACCUGACGAGGAAGCCACGGCUAACUACGUGCCAGCAGCCGCGGUAAUACGUAGGUGGCGAGCGUUGUCCGGUAUUAUUGGGCGUAAAGGGAGCGCAGGCGGGAGAUCAAGUCUAUCUUAAAAGUGCGGGGCUCAACCCCGUGAGGGGAUGGAAACUGGUCUUCUUGAGUGCAGGAGAGGAAAGCGGAAUUCCUAGUGUAGCGGUGAAAUGCGUAGAUAUUAGGAGGAACACCAGUGGCGAAGGCGGCUUUCUGGACUGUAACUGACGCUGAGGCUCGAAAGCGUGGGGAGCGAACAGGAUUAGAUACCCUGGUAGUCCACGCCGUAAACGAUGAAUGCUA